rnacentral:tRNA from 1 species
GGGCAUUUGGUCUUGUGGUAUGAUUCUCGUUUUGGGUGCGAGAGGUCCCGAUUUCGAUUCUCGGAAUGCCUA